rnacentral:rRNA from 1 species
UACGUAGGGACCAAGCGUUGUUCGGAUUUACUGGGCGUAAAGGGCGCGUAGGCGGCGUGGUAAGUCGAGUGUGAAAGCCCCGGGCUUAACUUGGGAAUUGCGCUCGAAACUAUGGUGCUGGAGUGUGGCAGAGGAAGGUGGAAUUCCACGUGUAGCGGUGAAAUGCGUAGAGAUGUGGAGGAACACCGAUGGCGAAGGCAGCCUUCUGGGCCAACACUGACGCUCAUGCACGAAAGCGUGGGGAGCAAACAGG